CCCUGGGCCGCCACAGUGGAGCAUGCGAACUUAACCACUUGGCCACGGAGCCGGCCCCUUGAUCAUAUUUUUUUACCUGUGGAAUGAAGAUAAUAAACGUGCGUCAUGGGGCCAUGGACAUUAAAUCAGACAAUGUCUUUGGAAAUAAGUUGUAAACUAUAAAACUACUAAUGUUCAUUCAAUAAAUAUUUAUUUAAAGAUUUCUAUAUGCCAGAUUCUAUACCAAGAACUGGGGAUACAGAGAAGAACACAGUCUUGCUUUCAAGGAAUUCUCAGUCUAGUGUUACAUAAUUACCUAAAUAUUAUCACUUUAGGUAUAAAAUUGAGAAGAAAUUAUUUUCUAUAAAGUACAAGGGAUUGAAAAUAAAGGCAGAACGUGUAACAGGAAAUAGAAAUAUAAAAAGCCCACCAAUUUAAUAAGGUCAUUCUUAGAUUUUUUUUGCUAUCAGUUGGUCCGUUUAUCUCUCUAGCCUAGAUCAGAACUGCACUUCCUUGCUGGAAUGUAUUUUUGUGGGUUUUUUUCCUCAUAUGUUACGACAGCACUUUCCUCACUGCUAUACCCAGAUGUGAAUUUUUGUUCUUUUUUUUCCUGCGAAAACUCAAAGCAAUUUUUUAGAAGUUCCACUUGCUACUGAUGUCAUUUCUUUAUCUUUUUCUAAGCCAUGGGUCUGUAGGAGCUGCGUGAGGGCAUGGCCCCACUUGUGGCUGUUUUGUGCCUCUCCCAUCAAGACUGCUCUGCUUCAGAGUAACGGGGAGUAUUUAGGAACUCCAGCAUCCUUAGAUCUAUCUUUUGGAAGUAGAUAAUGAUUUUUCUGCCUUUGAAUCUAAAGGCCCAGAGCCAGCCCUUUAGUUCCUCAUCUCUGAGCUUGCUGGUCCUCAGGAGCUGAGGCUGUGGAAGUAACUGCAGUAAAACCCCCCAGCACUGGCAGUGUAAAGAUCGCCGGUGUGAGCAGACAGUGCAGCAGGAGCUCUGGCCUAAGGACUAGAAGCCACAAAAAUAGAUGGUUCAUAGGCAGGAGCAGCUAAUGUGGACGGAGAUAAUAAAAAAUGUUACCACUUUGUAUGUGCCCCUGAAAAGUCUUCAGACUGUUAGAAUACAGUGUCCUUUCUGCCUGAUCUAAAUUCUGCCCUCACCUACUUGAUUGACCUAAUCAGAUCUAGGAUCUUAAGGAUUUUCUAGAAAAAUUCCCUUCUUUCUGGAUUGAGCUCUGGAGUACAGCCCAUCACAUUCCAGCCUCUUCCCUAUUAUUGUUGUUAAAAUACACCUAUGAUUCUUGACUCAUUCUUUUCUUAUUAGGUUGUAAAUGAGAAUCAGCCUUCCUCUUUUGAUGGGUAUUUUCUCUCUUUCCUUCAUCUUUAUUUUUCUCAGAAUCAAGUGAAAUAGAUUAUGUCCUUAAUUAGAGGCCCAUGCUAUGUGGAACUGCAGUAUUUCCAGGCAUUUUACUGAUAUGUGCAAAUGAAGAGAGACAGAGCAAGCUUACAGAUUGCAGGUGGGUAGCAAGGAGUAGAGACAUUAGGUUAAAGUACCUCCCACAAUGCACUUCACUUGAGCAACGGACCUUUGUUUUCUUUUUCCUACUCCAAGUCAGCAAAAAAUCAGAGGAAACAAAAGUUAAGUUGGUGGAGAGAAGUAUAAAUUGUUUUAAAUCUCUUGUCUUUUUCCUUUUCCUAACUUAUUUUGGUAUUUCAGGUAUAAAAUUAGAUCAUGGGGCAACCCUAUGAGAUAUAAUGAAGGCUCCCAACUUUAUUUUAUAAACCUGGAACAUCGUUUCCUAGGUUCCUUCAAUUAUGUCAGGAGUGGUUCAAUGAGAAAAUAGAUACAAUUCAACCUCUGAUUGAAAAUCUUCUUAAAUUCCUAUACCAAGCAUUUCUGCCUCAACGCUCCUAUCUCUUGCCCAUUACUGAUAGUUUUUAUUUCAAAUCUAAGAAACAACUGAGAUUUUCAUCUACAAUCCUUUCCGAAUCUGUAAUCUAUUAUAGAUCUUUUUAAAAUUUCUUUUUGAGAAUUUAAUUACUGAUUUAUGGCAGGUGUUGCCCUGAGACAAAUGCUAUGCUAGAAAUGCUACCUUCUUGGAGAAGAAGACUUAGAUAAAGAAGGGAGGACAGCCUGAGGCUGGGGUUAGAUCUCCUGGUGGCAGCAGCAGAGUGAUUUGAUUCUGACUGUUGUCCUCUCCUUAAGAAUCAUUAGUUUACAUAAACCAGUAAACUUUUAAACAAUCGAGGUACUGCAGAAUUGCCUUUAGGGCAUAAAAGUUGUGUAUUUCUCUAGUAAACAUAGAUAAGAAAUUUGAAUGGGAAAAUUCCCUUCUCCCCUCUCCCACCUACCAAUCCCCUUAGGGGAUUGCCGAAAGAAUAUUCUCUAUUACUUAUGAAGUAUGAAUCCAGAGCCCUAGAUUUUCCUGUGAUAUCUCAAACACCCAAAUUUCAUCAAGAAAUCUAUUUUGCAAUCAAGGCAUGUGAGACUGUACUUAGGCCUCUAGAUACGUCGUUCAUGCUGUGGAUGGACAGCCUCCUUAGAGUUGUGUUGAAAAGAUUCCGCCUUCCGUCUGUAACCCACUAGAGAGAGUUUAUCUGUAAUUUUUAUGUAUAAAUGGGAGCUUUGUCAUUCUCCUUCUCAUCCUUACCUGUUGAGGAGAUUCCAUCCUUAUCAAGUAGAGUCUUUACAUUAUUCCACAAACAGAUUGUUUCUGGGUCUCACAUCAGCCUCAUGGAAAAGUCCAUGAACUCUGUAAGGAACAUAACACACAGGCAAAGGACAGCGAGAAGAGGAAAGAAAACACUCUUAGAAGUCAUUUCUCAUUAGUGUUCCAUAAGAACAAAACCUUUGUCCCCUUGGUAUUCCUGGAUUGAACAUUUUCUAGGCUUUCAGCUUAACCACAACCUUGCCGCUUUGAGCAAGCCUUGUAUUUAGUUUUUGUCCUCUCAAAUUAUCUUUCUGUCCAAAUCGUAUACUUUCUUCAGAGUUCACCUCAAAGCUCAUUUUGCCUUUAAGGAGAUUUUUCUGAUAUUGUUAAUCCUGUACUAUAUUAAACACUGGCUUGAAUCUUCUCUCAGUAGCAUUCUGUGUGUAAAUCACCAUGUAUGUCAAUCACGUGCACACACAUAGAUACCAUAGUAUGUUUGAGAUAUAGACUAGGUCUCUUAGAGCAUCCCAUUGAGUAAUCUGUGUGUAAAAGGCUUCUUGUCUUCACUGUGGUUUCUCCAUAGCACAGCUCUCUCGUAUUUUCCAUCCAAGAUAAUCAUGGUCCUGCAGGUAAGAAUUUGUCAGUCCACCACUUCUGUGUUUUUUGACUCUGCCUCUUUCAUGUUCAGGCCAUUUAUUUAUCUCCUUCUUGACAGUAUGUAUUCUUUACAUCCUAUAAGAUGAUGCUCCAAAUUUACCUUUCCUAGAAAGUUUUCCUUAAUUAAUCCCUUCUCUUUCAAAAAACUUUUGAAUUUGAUUUCCUUCAGCACUUGCUGUUGCUAUGCAUAGUAUAAGGCUUGCAUGGAUUGAAAUGUUAUAUUUAAUUGCUCUUUUGGGUUGUAUGAUACCCAAGUUUCUUUCAGCUUUCAAAUUCCAUAACGCUCCCGGGACAUCUUUUUCCCCAGCUUUGAGGAAGCACUCUGCAGCAAACCUUUCUCUUCUUUUUGUAUUUUUUAAAUCAGCCUCUGCGCACAUCAAGCGUACAAUAAGUGCCUGCGAACCAGCUCCUCUGCACAGGUAGGAAGCUGCAGAAGACGGCUUGAACUGUAACAUGCACGAUUCAGGUUGAACAUAGGGGAUAAAUUCUCUGAUAAUAAAACUGAUUGAAGGUGAGAACGAGCUAUCGAAGAACAACAGGGACUCUAUUCCCUGGAGAUCUCUAAAGGGAAAAAAAAUAAUUUAUCUUGGAUAGAGUCAGGAGACCAGACUAGAAGAUGUACUGAGAUUUUAUCUGGCUCCAGGAUUUUAUUAAAAUCCUUAUUCAUUACACUACUUUCAUAACAUGUUUCUGGUAAGGGGUUUCUGACUUUAUUUUCAUCUGUUAAAAAAUACUAAGUGAAAAUAACGUAGGAAAGCCUAAUUUAUUUUAGGAAUUAAAUACAGACUUUGAGUAAUUAAAACGGAGGAACUACACAUUUCUGUAAUAUACAUGUCCAGCACCACUGAGUACAUUUUCUUUUGUUUGCUUGCCUUCUUCAAAAAUCCAGGAAAAAUCUAGAAAAUGUUCUUUUUCUUGCCUACAAAUGACAAUAUUUCUAUCCGAGAUAGAUACUUACCAUUCUUACUCCAUUGCAAGAAUUAGGUUUCUCAUUUUGUAGACAUAAGAGAAGCUGAAAAGUGAGUCCAGUAGUUUCUUUCUAGAACUUAACACUUUCUAGUUGUGGAUGUUAGUAUUUGUGCCUACUUGUGUAUUUCGUCCAAGCUUUACUUUUUUUUCCCCUUCUAAUUCAUCUACUUUUUAUUGUUUUAAUAUGAUUUCCAGUUACAGCAAUGAGGUUUCUGAAGAGAAAAAAAUUUUAACUGCCAAUGAGAUGAGACUCUGGCUUUGCUUUCCUGAAGAGCUUUUAUUUUUAUGUGAUUCUUAUUAGGGAAAUGGUGCUGAAAGUUGGUGCUUCACGUACUUUCAGGCAAGUGUAUGCAGGGUGAUGUAAUUAGGAACCCCAUUCAGGUUAAUUGAUAGAUACAGAUUUUAUAAAUAAAAAUUUAGAGCAUGAAUCUGUUGUAUCUUAUCUCUGAUUAUGGAACAUUGCCACUGAUAGCUGGAAAUAUUAAAUGCAUGCUCCUGGAAAAUUCUCAAAAAUCACUUAUUUAUGAAAUCAUAGUUUUGAAUCGAUAGCCAUUAAAACCUCUAUUGUAACAGGAAUUAUCACCUUACUGGUAGUGAUAUAGUGGGCUAAAUCACGUCCUCUAAAAUAUACCUGCAAUCUCAUAACAGCCUGAUCUGACCUGGACACUCACCUAUUCCCUUAGAAUUCCCUCCUGAUGUUGCGGGACGCAGAGUGUGCUUAUAGUGAAUUUGCCGUUCCAGCUCUGUGAUUACUCUCUAAGUGUGGAAAAGGGUUAGCAGGUCCAAAUUAAAAUAUCCUGUUGAAACAUUUGAAGGAAGAUGUCUUUGGAUUCAUAGUGAAUCUUUCCAAUUAUUCAGAGAAACAAGUGCACCAGGUCUUUUGUUUUGAACUAUGUUGCCACAUUGGUCUCCACCUUUCCCCUCUGAAGCCCCAUCAGGUCACUGAUGCUGUUGUCCUCUAAAAUAUCAUCUGCCUUUUUGAGGACAACUUUUAUAAAUUAUAAAGCAACCUGGUUAGUAUGAGUGCCUUUCUGAAAAAAGUAUGGAGAUUUGAUUAAAGUAAAGGGGAGCAGGAAAAGAAAGAAGCAGUAAAAAUUUUAUUAUAUUUGGUAACAUAACUUGUUCAGGCUAAAAACCAGAACUACUUUAAAAUUUUUAUUGCAGAGGACUUCUAUGUGUUUUCUGCAGCAUAUUUUCCUUCUUAUUGUUGGUUUCAGUUCCCCUGGAAUUAUACACAAAUGCACACGCAUGCAUGCAUGCUUUACUAAUGCUAGAAGUGUGUAAGGAUGUAGAUUAUUAAACAUCAGAAGAUUAAUCAACCGAAGCAAUGCAAGAGGUGUUUUCAGAAAUCCACUUCUAAUUACCCACAAAAAUUAGUUCAAGAGGAACCAAGGAAGCUGAUAUUUACGUAAAACUGUACAGCUUAUGUCCUCCAUGAGCAUCUCUCCACCUAAUGCCCCACCGAAUCUUGUUGCUAGGGCCUCACAUAACCUACGACAUAAUUGAUGUGUGUCCCCCUUUUGCCCUGCAUCUCUCAGGCAAAAGGCUGAUGAGCAGUGAGUUUAUAAACAAACAAGAGGAAAAAGGACCAAAGACUGAAACGCUUUUCACCUGGAUGCCUGCUUCAGAAAGAAUCCAGAGUUUGCCAUAAAGAAUGCUAAUAGAUGACAUGGGAGCCUCCUUUAUGCUACUGGUGUGUUCACAGCUACUCCCGAGAAUUUCCACAGAGACAUUUUCUGAGGCACUGAAAAUAAACUGUUUAUUUUUAAGAGACAGUCAAGGCAGUCAAAUAUUUUUACAAACAUUUCCAUGGACUCUUUGCUUCCUCUCCCCUACAUUCCUUUCUAUAAAAAUAUUUGUAUUUCUCUGUUGAUGACUUUUAAGAGAAUAUGUUAAUAUAAUUGCAAGAUUUUUUUUUUCUAGAUUUUUUUUCUAUUUAGGUUGUCCUUAGGUUUUUGGUUUUAUCUAUGUUUUUGGGGGGUGCAGAUGGGAGAGAAAUGCUUAGGGAAAACCCUUUUAGAGUUAAAACACUUUCAUUUGAAUAUUUCCGUGAUCAUUGAUCUUCCACGCAGGGUUCCAUUUAUCACUUUAGACAGCACUGCUCCUGCCUCUGCUUCUUAAUAUGUUAUCAGAGGCUUGUCCUACCAUAUGCAAAUCAGUGACUUUAGCAUCCACUCUCCUUUGUUCAUCUGUUAUCAAUUAUUUUAGCAACACUUAACCAUGGGCCAGGUGCUGUGGAUUGUAAAGAGUAAGAGAAAAGCUCUCCACCCACAAGGUACUUACAGUCUAGUUGGAAGGACAGAUCAUAGACAUACAACACAAUUAGUAACAUAGUGUUAUAUUAAGCACCAGCCUAAAUUGAUAUUGUAAGGCACUACGUUGUGUAUUAUAGGAAAUUGUUAUGAAAUUCUAAUAUCUGAUAAUGCCAACUGGGGAAGAAAAAAAGACUUCAAGGAAAAAGAAGUCAAUGUGACUGGUUCAUCUAGGAAAAGCAUUGAUGCUGGGCCUAAAGGUGGACUAAGGAAAACACAAUUAAGAAGAAAGAGCAAUUAGAAGUUAGGGAUGGCAAUAGAGAAACGACUAAGGUAAGAAUGACUUAAAACAAAAGUAAUCUCAAUAUAUUAGUGUAAGAUCAACACAUUUUUUUUCAUGGUAUACCUGAAAACUAGGUAUAUUUUAUAGAGAGACAUACUUUAGAAUUUCAAAACCAUGAAAGCUGUGAUUUUUGUGGGUGUUGGGUAAAGAAAGCCACAGAAGGCAGACUUCUUGAAAGAAACUUGAUGAGAUAGAAACUUCAUGCUGAUGGAAAAGGUAACUAUUUACUUGUAUUCAUAGGAGUUGUUUCUUUAAAAGCACUUCUUUAAAGCUUUUGGUGAAAAAUUCUUGUUUAAUGACCAUGAACGAAACUAGAGGAGAAGAUAAUCAUUUCAGAUAGGAAAAUAAGAAGAUAAAUUUGUUUUUAGAGGGAAACCUUCCACUUUCUGGAUAAUUAAAGUGUUUCUAUCUGAUAAGGAGCUGAGUGUACCAAUUUCCGGGUCUUCUGAUAGUCUGGUUUGUCUUAUUUUAAUGAUGAAAAAAAGAGGUAAGAUGAACAGGCUGCUGAAAUGAUGAGAAGCCGAGUGAGAAAGAACUCAACAAAAGGGGUUGCGACGGCAGGAGCGAUUGCUACCCAAGUGGCACCUGUUUAGAAUGGGAGAAUAUACUAGUAUUUAAAACUGGUUUGCAUGGAAAAUAUACUUUCAAGUUACUUUUCUUGAACACUAAAAGCUUAACUUUCAAAUGCAAGGUAUUUGUCAACAUUAUCUGAAACACCGGACUGGAGGCAAAUGUUCCAACAUAUUUGUUUUCUCACAAUUAGAGCUAAGCUGACAUGUUGAAAAGAUGGUCUUCAAAGAUACUCAGAGGCUGCUAAAUUUUUGUCAAUAAUUAGCCUUCACUUUGCUUUUUAGACAAGGAAGUCAUGUUUUUUUCUCCUCACAUUUGCCAAGUAAGGCUUUUCACUUUCAAAUCUCCCCGUCCCAGUGUUUGAAUUUAAGCAUUUCAAACAGACUCUUCACCCUCAGCCACCAUGUGUAGUAUUGCAUUUAUGCAUUCAACUUCUUACUCAAGUGAUGCUAUUUUUUUCUGCCUCCGCCUGACAGCCACUAAUAAUAACACAUGAGGACAGUCAGACAAAAUGAAGACAAAUGCUGCUUGUCGCAGCAGAAUCAUAAUGUCUCCAGACUCAGUAAAGACAGUCUAACUGUAUGUGGAUGCUCUUUAUAGCUUAUUUAGACCUGUGGUUUUUCCCUGUGGUUUUUUUUUUUUUUCUAAAGCACAAACAUUGUGCAGAAAUACAUUAAGGCAACAUAUGGGCCUGUUAGUUAGCCAAAACAAUGUGGAACCAUGGAGAAUAGAGAUUGCAAAGCACAGAUGGAUACUGUAAAAAAUUCAUGAGUGGCAUAACAGAUCUAAAAGGUAAAUUUUAGUCAAAAUUCAAGUGGAAAGCAUGGGAAAUACUUAAGAAUUUGGCUUUAUGAGGUUUUUCAAAUCACACAAGAUGAAACAUUGUGAAUAUUCCGCAGAUUUGUUUAUGUCAUAAUGUGAAAAUCAGAGCUCAUCAUUCAACAAUAAUUAUGUCUAUAUAGCUUCGUGCCAUCAGAAAUAGAUUGCUGAUAAACAAUAGCGCUUUGCUUCUAUUUAAUGUAAAUGCUGCAGUAUUAAAUAUCCAUAUUAUUUCCAGCUCAAUAUUAGAAAGUGUCAGUCAUUGUGACAAGUCAGACAGGAGGAGCUCACUGAGCCAUUCUCUGUGUAGCCAAGUGCUGUCGAAUAACCAGGUUUUCAUGCUGUAUGACUUUGUUGUUAAAAUUGAGUUCUAAGCAGUAAAUUGGCAAAUCAUUUUUCCCUCUUUUCUGUUUGGUACUUUUAACCAAAACUGAAGCCUCAAGGAGACACUGGAUUCUUACGUGUACAUAAUCAAGAUGCACCUUGAAUUUCGCAGAACACUUGUCUUUCGAAGUUAUCAUCACUGUGGUUCGUCAUUGUCUUUUCUCAGAAAAAAAAAGUUCUGUUCCAAAUCCGUGAGGCCAGCCCAAUGAAGGUGUGCCUUUGAUCCUCACUAUAGCCAAUCUCACUCAUAAAAUUUCCUUAAUAGCAGUUCCUGAGCAAAAGAAUUCUGCCUAGUGAAAUAAGUAAUUUGGUUCUUAAAUUUCCAGUGGGGUAAAAUUAGAGAAAAGCAGAAAGGGAAGGGGGUUGUUCUAAACAUACAACCAUAGAAGCUUUUCCCAUUAGAAACUUUUAGAUGUCUAGUUGAGAAUGAUACCAUGUGGAAUUUAGAUAUGUUUUGUCAUUUUGUUGCUAGAAAGGCAAAACAUAGUAAACUAUUGUCUGUAUAAAGGUUUAAGUAAUACUCAAAGUGAUCCACUAGACACUUUCAAAUCUUAAAUACUAGGUAGACAAGAGGCAUUGGACUUACUUUUCUAUAGUUAAUGAAAUUGUUAAUGAAGAGAUUUGCAGAGGACCCCGUUAUACUUUGAAAAGAUACUAGCACAUUAUUGAAACAACCAGAAAAGUAUUUGGUACUAAGAAGAAAGAUGAUUAGAUUGAAAGUAGACAUGAUGGACAGAAAGUAAACGACAUCACUUGUUGAACUGGACUAAUUUUUUACUUUUGAGAUUUUUUUGCAGGUAACCUGAAACAGGGCAAGUUUUGUAGCUGGCUCUUCAUUCUUGGCACUAAUGCCACUGUUGUGACCUUGAGACAACAAAUUGAACUUUCUGAUAGUUGUCCUAAUAGCUCUUUCAGGCAGUUUUGGUGUCCUUAGUGGAUUAAAGUUUGCAUUAGUGAACCUACUGAGCAGCAGCCAAGACUAAUUCUCAGCUCUCUAUGACAUUUCACACAUUGUCAGUUGUUAGUAAGUGUUAUACGAUAACAUUUUGAGAUCCUCAUCUGAGAGUUGAUGGGGAAAUAUGCAGGAUCUAUGAGGUUUGCCGACUAAGUUGAGCCCAGUUGAGAAGUAUGUUGUAGGGGGUAGGUAAAGAUGGCAGUGUUGUGUCUCCUUUACAAAAAAGAUAGAUUUACUCCCAAAAUUUCACAAGGUCUGAGCAAGAUGCCAAGCAAGAAAAAAGAAUGAAGAGACAGACAAAGAGAGGAAAAAGUAAAAAGGAUAAAGCUGCAGGUAUAAAGAGAGAGUAGAACUAUCUUUCUUCUGUACUGUUAUACCCCUGGUCCUUAUGGAGAAUCUAAGAAGGGUUUGGAAAGUGUCAGAUGUAUUAGGAAUGUGUAUGUAUGUGUUUUUUAUAUUUGUAUCUUCUAUUAAAAUGCAAGCUUCAUAAGGGACAGGUCACUUUGAUUCAUUGCUAUAUUCCCAGUCACCUGGAAAAAUACCUGCUACAGCAUAGACCUUCAGUAUUUGUUGAAUGAAUGAAUUUCUCAACAGACAAUUUUCUGUAUAUUCUCAUCGUUAUCUAAGGAAUUAUGGAUUUGUUGAUAUCUCUUUUAAAGUGUUUGGUUAAUACUUAGCAACUAAGAUUGCUGCAAAGUGACACAUUUUAGUUCAGACAGGUGCCAUCUGGGGGGAGUGAAAAGAAAAGAAAUAGGGAACUUUUAAAAUUCGAUAGAAUGAAUUUGUCUUCUCUCCUCUGAUAGAGGAGCCCAUAAUGGUGAGAUCAUUUGGUUUGUUCAGUAUACAAUAUAUGCUGGGGUGGGGGACCGUCCAGCAAGAAACAUUCAGUAGAGACUGAGUUCUGAGAUAACUCAGAGCAGUCCAUGACUUUCCUGUCUCUGUAGUGUGAAGAGCAGAAUUCACUGGACCUUGCGAAGGCAGGUGAGAAAUCUGUGCUAGCAGUUUGGUGGGCAAGUUGGGUUGCCUGAAGAAGUCAGGAAUUAUAAUUUCAGGCCUAGGUAACCACAGACCAAGAAGGGCAUAAAGAGUUUAUUGAUGGUCAAGACAUUUUGAAUUGAUUCUCCCUGCUGACCGUAGUCUUUUUGCCUUUUUAUGUGAUUCAAAUUAUUUAAUUUAAUUUUGCUUAAUUUAUGCACUAUCACUAGAUUCACUCCAGGGAGAUGUGAGAUGUAAUUGGUUGCAUUUGACAUUGUCUUCCAACACAGCAAUUUUGCCCCAAAAAACCUUGCUGAAAGUCAACAAAGCUGAAUCUAUAACAGGAAAUGCACAUUUUUAUUCUGAUCCCACCUUGACCAAUGUCAGAGUAGCAUGCUUGAGAAGUUAAGUUAAUAUACAUAUUAAUACCCACUGUGUUCAUUAUUUUCUUGCGUAAUAUGUACUAUAUAUGGCCUUUUAAAGGAAAUAUUGAAAAGAGGGAAAAGGUACGUUAAUUCAACAGAUGUAUUUUGAGCACCUAUUAUAUACCAGGUACUGAGAGAUUCAGUGGGGACAAAUAAAUGUCCUCAUGCACCUUUUAGUCAAGAAAGAAAAACAGACUUUAAACAAAUAAUAACAGAUGUAAGAGAUGUUAAGGGAAGGGUGCGUUAGAAGUAUGUAGCAAAAGAAUUUAACUUAGGUCAAAAACAGUCAAAAUAGCUUGCCAAGGUCAAGGAAGUUAUGGUGUAGUGAGAAGAAACGACUUGAAAAGAAACCGACUUCUCUACCUAUCUUCCUUCCUCCCCUCCUUCCUUCCUUCUAUAAUUGAAUAUUUAACAAAUAGUGAUCUAAUGUGAACCAGGGCUCAAACAGAGUGCUCAACUCUGGUGAACCAAAACAAGAAAUAAAACAUGGUUCCCAUGAAGGAGACAAAACACUCAUCAAGCUGUCACACAUGAAAACAAAAUUACCUUUUUAACAAGUGCUCCCAAGGAGAGGCAAAUGGUGCUACAUGGGCAUGAGCUGAUGUGGUCUGGUUUGGAUGGUCAAGUUUCCUUGAGAAAUUGAUACUUGAGCUGAAAUCUAAAGGAUAAACUGGAGUUAGUUAGCCAGAAGCCAGGGGAGGGUAAAACAUCUUAGACAAAGAAAAUAGCAUGUGCAAGGGCCUGGUGACAGGAGGAAGCAUGAGAAAUACACAAGGCUUAACAGAAGGCUAAAGUGGCUAGAGGCGAGAGAAUCAAGGGCUAGGAGGAGAGGCUGACUGGGGACACACCUGCAUGGCUUUGACGGUCAGGUCUGGAUUCCAGAGGAAAAGCAGGGGUGCCUUUGAAGGGUUUUAUGGAAAGCGAUGUGAUCAAAUGCAGCCAGGAAUUAGGCUGCAGCUAGCCUGGGGGUCAAGACACUGGUGGUGGGGGCUGGCAGCUAUCUGGGCAAUGCAUGAUACUAUUCUAAGCCUGGGAACAGUGACGGAACUGGGAGGGGGAAUUGAGUCAAGAGAUAUUUAAGAAACAUAAUCGAUGACUGGUUUGAAACAAGGGGAUAAAGAAGAAUUAUCCAUGGAUCGUUCCCACAUUUCUCGCUUGGAUAGCUAAGUAAGGAUGGUGCCAGUCCAUGAGAUAGGGAAUAUGAGAGGAAGAAGAGGUCUGAGAAGUAGGUGGGUGGGAAUAGUGAAAUCACUUUGGGUCAUGUUGAGUUUGAGGUAUCUGAGGCAUCAAGUGGAGGAGAAAGCACUUGAACAUUGGGGCUGGGUCUGGUUAAGAGAUACAGGUAUGGGAGCCAUCUACAUAGAGAUAUAGUUGAAGCAACUCAGAGCAUGAGUGAGAUUGAGGGGGGACUGUAUAUAAAAAGAGAAGAGACAUGACUUCUGAGUAACACUAGUACUUAAAGGGCUGACUAGGGGAAAGACAGAAGUGAUAGACAUAUAGAAAGAAAACCAGGAGAAAAUGUCAGGACCAUAGGAGCCAAGGGAGAGACUGUAUCAAGAAAAUGAGAGAAUAAACAGUGUCAAAUGCUGUGGAAAAUCACGUAGGACUAGGCCUGAAAAAUAUCUGUUAUAAUAAAGACGGGUAUGGUGAGAUCCUGGUGAGAACAUUUUUGGUGGGGUGAAACUGUGUAAGACAUAUUGGAGUGAGCUGAAGAGCCAAUAGGAGAUAAGAGAAUGGAGGACACUUGUCACUCUAAAAGUUUGUUUAAAUGGAAGAGCAAGAUAGGAUUCUACCUAGAGGAGAAUAUGGAGUUGAAAAGGGAUAUUUUUAGAUGUCUGGGAGUUGAUGAAUUAGUUAGUUGUAUUUGAUUGCAACUGAGAAUACUUAACUAAUGGUGGCUUUAUUAAAUGCCUUUAUUAUUUAUCUCGCAUAAUGAGAAGAUUGGAGAUGGAUGGAUCCAGGGUUGCUGCAGCAGCUAAAAACAAGUAUACUCAAGCCAGGUUCUAUGUUAUCACUCUAGCUUUCUCUUGAAUUUUUGUCCUUGUGCUUCACACUUAAUGGACACUAGCGUGAUUCUUCAAAUCCACAUUACCUCAUUCAAAGCAAAAACAAAAACAUGAUCCUUGUUCUCUGUCUUUUUACAAGGGAACAAAAUUCUUUCCCAGACUUUUAUUUACCCCUACUCCGUCAGACUUCUGUUUAUAUCUUGUUGGCUAGAACUGAGUUAUUUUACCAUUCUAGAUGAACCAUUAGCAAAGGAGAAUGUGAUUGUCAAGUAUGAGCUAGACCAGGGGUUCUCCAAGGAUAGUGGUCUCUGGACCAGCAGUACUAGCAUCUCGUGGGAACUUAGAGGAAUGCAAAUUCUUGGACUCCAUCUCAGUCAUACUGAAUGGAGGACUCUGGAGUGGGACCUAGCAGUCUACUCAAAUAAUCCUUCUAGGCAAAUCUGAUGAAUUUUCAAGUUUGAGAACCAUUGGUUUAGACUAAUCAAGUCAUCCUCUGUUGAGAAAGGACUAGGGUAGGGACUCAUGUUCCCUGAGCUCAUUGCUUUCUUGGAAAGGAUGGGGCAUGACCGUUGGUAGACACAGAAAAGUGUCUGCCAUUCUUGACUUUCAACAUUAAGAGGAAUGGGCCAGUAAAGAGAGAGGAUGAAGAUAAGAGAGGGGUUGAUUGAGAAGGGAGAUGAAGAUGGAGGAGAUUCAUGAACGCAGAUGGAGGGAAUGACCUUCCCUAAGAGGGUUCUGCCUCCACGUUAAGAAGAGAGCUUGAAAAAACAGUGCGUGCAGAAGCAGAUAGGCUGGUAGUAGGAAGGUUAGAGGUUCCCUUAUGUUGGUCUCUGGGAAUAGAGGUAAAGUUAUCUGCUGAGAGAGAGGGGGAGGUAUAGUGGAGGUAAGAUCUGAAAGAGCAGAGAAGGUCUAAAAUACUUGAGGAGAAGGGGAGAGCUUACCAACCUGGAAGCUACUGGAAUGUAUAUGAGGUUGUAAACCUGCUUGGGGUCCGUGAACAUGAGUUCAGAGUAGGAUAGUCUGCCUGGUUGUGUGAGAAGCAACAAAGGGAUUUAGGCUGGGAGCUCAAAGAUAGCUUGAUUCCUCUAGAGUUGUGGUUUUGCCAGAAGGAUGUGACAGAAGGUCAUGGACAAUGAUAUUUCAGAUAAUGUUAAGAGAGAGGUUGAAGUGAUGAACUAAGCAGUUCAUGCUAAAGGGGAGAGUUCGUGAAGAUGGGUUACAGGGGAGAGUUGGUCCAUGGACCCAAAGUCAUGAUGCUAUCUUCCUCUUUAUACAUUUGGUAAGAACCAUUCUAAAGAAUAGGUCAAACUGUCCCCACAUUGUUAAUUUAAAAAAUUAGAGUCUUAUUGUAUUAUGGCCUCUUCUCUCUUUAUCAUGAGAAAUUUGAGUUUUGUUUGAAGGUGUCACAUUUGCAAUGAGUUAUGGCAGACUUUUUCUUAUCAUUCAGUUGUAGGACGUUAUGCAGGAAAAUAAGCCAGAGGCUUUAAUUUGACUUACCUUGACUGCUUUUUGACCUGUUCUAUUUUCCUUUAUUGAUGGAUAACAUUUUACAGGCAUAAUUUUAUAGGCCUUGCACAAAUCUUGGUAAGUCAUAUGUAUAAUAUAAGGUGGAGGACUGCUUUUUAUCCAGCUGGAUUUAUCAUUUCCUUAGCCAAGUAGAGAGAUAGUCGUAAUUUCAUAAUGUACUUGAUAACUUGAAAGAUAACAUUUUGUUUUUUUACGAAAACAAUCUCCUACGAGCUAAGGAAGAGUCAUUGUUUGGGAGGAUGGCAUCCUUCUUCUUUAUCUGUAUGCAAAGGAGCUACUGAACUUCCCAGCUGUGGCCACACUGAACUUUGAGCCUGUUUCUCUCUGCCACCUGACGUGUUCCUCCCUGGGUUGUCCUAAAAGAGUACAAACCAAUUGUAGUAAUCUGAAUUGAAAAUAAUUAGGUGCACAUGUUUCCUGCUAGAAACAUCAUGGAGUAAAUUCCAUAGCCAGAGAGGCAUUACUUCUAUACCGUGCCAUGGUUUGGAUUUUUCUUGCAUUCCCGCAGCGUCUAGUGCAGGAGAAUCACCCUCUCUAUGAAUGUGACUAAGGAAAAGUCAGAUGCCAGCAUCCAGACGUUCAUGAUGUGAGCAUAGGAUAAUAAGACUGUUCCUGUGGAAUUUUGAAUCUGCUUCCAAAGGUAAUUAGAAGAGAAAAGAGCCAGGCACCUUGAAAGUCAACAAAAUUGUUGGAAUAUAAGUUCCACAAGGACAGGAAUUUUGCUGAUUUGUUCACUGCUGUAUCCCCAGUGCUCAGAACAGGGCCUGGCACAUAAAGGCACUCAAUAAAUAUUUAUUGAAUGAAUAAGUGACUCUUUGAAGAUCAAUAUUCUUCUGUAAAUUCUAGUGUCUGUUAACAAAAUAGGUCUUAUUUCUAGGUAGUUAUGUUGGUGGAGACCACCAUAGGGAACGGAAAAAACGCACGGUGCACUCAUUUACUUGUUACAUUUAUAGCAACUGUGAUUAUUCAAAGUUUAUCAUUAGUUAAACUAAUUCUUCGCUGAUAUGAUUUGUGCCUACUGCAUAUUGCUGUGAAUGAAUAUAUAUACUUAGAACCAUUGAGGUUACAGUUUGGGUAUUUUAUUCCAGUGGUAAUUUAUGUGUCACAGUUAAGUUUCUUUGAAUGAUAAGUUGGAGAAUCUGUGGACUCAACUCCAAAUACUCGUUAACUUAGGAUCUACCUCAAGGCUUCCAGAGAGUCUUUUCAUUCUGUGGAGUGAUGGUCUUUGCUUUAGGACACUGGAGAAGUCACAAGAGCUGAUCAAGUGCAUGGAUGUCCAAGUUAGAUAGACCUGGGUUCAGUUCUCACAUUCUACCACUGGCUAUUGAGUGACCAUGGACACGUAUUUUAAAUUCUCUAAAUUUUAGUGUAAAACAAGGAUAUUAAUAAUAUCAUGUAUUUCAUAGGAUUAUCAGGAUUGAAUGAAAUAUUACAUGCAAAGUACCUAGCACAAUGCCUGGCACAUAGUAAUUGCUUGAUAAAUAUGAGCUGCCUGGCACCUAGUAAGUACUUGAUAAAUGUGAGCUGUUGUUACCAGCUAUAAUUAGUUCUUAAAAUCUGCAUAUGAAUUUGUCUUUAGAUAUAUACAAAUCCUUACGUGUAUUUGCUGGUGCUAAAUUCAAAUAAAGUAGUAUAAAUUGCAAAAUUGCUAAUGUUGAACAUUAAUGUUCAUUACAGAUUAAAAAAUGAAAAUCUCACUUCCUUCAGCAUCUUGUUUAAUCUACUUGAUUAGGAAAGGCUCUUUUAUGAAAAUGAUACAUUCACAUUUUAGGUGGGUGUUUACAGGUGUUUAGAGUCACAUUGAACACUAGACCAAUCUUUAGACUAAUGUGGACUUCCAGCCACUUGAAAACAUAAACUUUGCUAUCAAUAGGAAAAAAUCGCCUUUCUCUAAAUCCCCUGAGCUUUGUGAUUGUCACUGGUGACCGGGCUUCUUUUCCAGGCUGUAUCAUUCGCUUCAGUAUUUUUAUUUAUUAAGGUCAAUCAGCUCUCACAACGAAGUCCUAACUCUACAAUAUGGUACAGUCAGCUUUGUGGGUUGCUUUUUCUCUAGUUUUAUAGGGAUACCAGCAAAACUAGAGACUUUUUGGAGAAAGGAAACCACGAUGGUGAGGAGCUUGGAAAUCAUGUUCUUUGAUGAAUGUUGGAGAAAACACAGAUGCUUAAGCUAGAGAGGAAAAAAAGACUUCCUAGGAAUAUGAAGGUUAUCCCCAAAUAUUUGUAAGCAUAUCAUGUAGAAGAGGACAAAAAUGGCAUCUUUGUAUUUAGAGAGGAAAGAUGAAAAAUAAAUAAGUAGAUGUUAAGGGGUGUCACAUUUUGAUAAGCAUUAGUCAGAUGAACUGGCGUCUGUGAAGUACAUAAUGAUGUUCUCAGGUACCAGUCAGCUAACUCUCCUCCCCAAGAUAAUGUAGCUGGUUACGGGUAGAGUGAAACCCACCUGUUUUGACUUCAAAUUCAGAUUGUUGUUGUUUAACCCUGUGCUGUCUCUUUGAUCUUUAUUAAGUUUAGUUAGGCUGGUCAGGUACUUGUACUGUUGAGACCAUGUCCAGGGAUCCACUUUUCUCUGGGCCGGUGAGGUUUAUGCAAUUCGACAGCCACACCUGACACCCUGUCCUUAGCCGUCUAGCUUCCAGUUGAUGCUUUUGAUUAAGACGUGGGACAGAGUGUAUAUGGAACUCUCACCAUUAGUAGAAAAGCCGUUUAAAGGAUAUUUCCUUUUGACCAUGGGUCAAUGAUAUAAUCUUUAUAUAAGAAGGACCAUAUAUGCUAAGGGUAAGUUAUGAAAAGUUUCCCACUAGCACCUUAUUUAUGGAUGUCUUCUGAUCUCUGCAUAUGAGCAUGGGCUAUGAGGAAGUUCAAAAGAAUCAACUUAAAUAAAAGGAACUCAAAGAUAGAUUUUGUAAGUUUGGUUGUGAUGAUAAUAAUUUAUGCCACCGGGGUAUCCCCUGCUUCAAGGAAUUUGUUCUUAUAAGUUGUUCCUUUCUCCAUGUUUCUAUGCAGAAAAUUGCAAAGCUAAAAUUUCUUCCCUAUUGUGGAUGCCCUUUGGGGCUGAACCAAGAGUUUGAGAGGAGAAUGAAGGUCGGAAGUUUGCAGAGUAAUGGCUCAUCUGGUCACCUCAAUGGGGGUGUGAGCGUUUCAUCAUUUAGAUAAAAGGGGUUGUUGCCUGUGUCAUUUAUGGAGCUGUUGGUUUAGAAAAUUUCACCAUCAUCCAGAGACAUGAGUCAGGCGGCAGAAGUGGCAUCAGAUUUCCUCAGACACUAAGGUGAGUGCUCAGGAAAGGUUGUAGACUUACAUUUGAUUUCCACAUCCAUCUUCUCCUUGCAAAUUAAAUUAUUAAUUUUCCCGCAUGCCUUCUUGUUUAAUGAGAAGAGUGGUGGCCUUUAUCUGUGCAUGUGUGCAAACAAAACAUCACAGCAGGAGCUCCUGAACUGCCCAGGCAAGUGGAGGGGUUAAGCAGGCAGAUGUAACUGUCUUGGUAUAGUCUGUGUCAUUUGCAAAAGUCUGGAUGGCUGUUGGCAUCAUAAACAUGGAGGGAUUCAGGCUCCCAAGCACCUCCCUGCACAUGUAUCUGAAGAUGAAAGCUCCUCUUACAAAUACAAAGGAAGGAUCAAAAGAGGGGAAAAUAAUGGCAUUUAAAAUGCACAUGUGAAAUGCAAAAUUAUAAUCUGAUUGUUUUUCCAGGGUUCCAUUAGAGUGGUGCUACGUUCUGAGAUGAUACAGUGUUGGUUGAUUACUUUCCAUGUUUGAGAUAAUAAAUACUCACAUCAGCAUGAUUUGGGACUUGUUACCAUAGACAUUCUACUACAUCUGGCUUUUCUAGCUUUUCACACUAAUAUAUCCCUGGUUAAAUAUGGAUGUUAACUUUUUCUGGUCUGUGGUGCCCCUGAAUACCAGUGCCUGGCUCUAAUUUGACAAGAAAGAAAACAAAACAAAACAAAAAAUAAACACAAAUCAGCAUAGGUUGUUUAUUAUAAGAAUUAUUUAAACAUUAACAUUUUACAUAUUAGUUUCUGUUUGUUUAAGGGACAUUAAAUAUUUUUUAUGUCAUGAAUUUGGAUAUUGGAAUUGCUGCCAACUCUAGAGCAAUGGGAUUCCUCUAUCCUGAUUGUAGACUGUUAGGUUUAUGGCUGUAAGACACAAAAUAAAUUCCACGUCAGUGAUUACAAAGGAUUUUAGAUUGCUAUUUUAAAGAUUUGUUAGCACUUGCCUUUGUUUUAUACAUGUCAGUGUCUUCUUUGGGAGUCUAAAGUUCCCCUUUGCUCAACAAGUGCCAGUGGCAUAUCCAUUUAUUAAAAUUAAAUGCAAACUUUCUUGAGCUGAAUGAAUAGUCAAUUUUGGUGCAUCUUUAUGAUACCUUAGAAGCAGUCUAUAACUUCCAGAUUAAGAACAUGAUAAUCUCUGUGAGUUCCCACCCUCCCCCCUACUUAUUAGUUAUUCCAAUGAAAUAAUAAAAUUUUCAGAGUUGUUACAUGACCUAGCCUUUCCUCUUUUUAAAAAUGAAAUCACUCAGCAGUCCAUGUGAAAAGCAGUGAUCAGCCUGACCACUAUAGCAUUGUUUAUAUCACUCACUCGUACGUGAUAUGAUGUGAUGUAUCAUAUGAUUUUAUUUUUGAGAAAAAAGGUAUUUCUUUAAAAAUUAAGAGAAAUAAGAAUCACUACAUAAGGAGAAAAUUAUUUGUCUUAUUUAAGUACCUCUAAAUCAUUUCUAAAGGAAAAGAAUCUGCAGAACUCCCAUCCUCCUCAUUGAGAGGAAUGGGACAAUCUUUCAACAAACAAUUAUAGUUUCCAAUAAAAGGAGAAAGUUUGUACAGUCUUUUUUACAUAUAUUUCUUUGGAAAAAAAUUGGUUCCCCUUAGUAAAAUAUUUCUGUAAUUUGUUUUGCGCUACUAUGUAAAGGUAAUUAAAUGUACAUCUAUUUAUACAGCUUGUGGGCACUUAUUAGUUGGUUUUGCUUGCAUUUCAUUAACGAAUAUCUGGUCUUUAUCACUUUAUAUUUUCAUAGGACAUGUUUCAUGAAGAACUCAUACGAGCUCCUUUAUAAAUACAUGAAAUUGCAAUCUCUAGGAAAAUGGAUUGCAAACCAUUGGCUGGUUUGGAAUAAACCUGUGCUAAGCCUCAGUAUAGUUUAUUAAAAGGACUUUGUUGGCUCCAGUUUGAACAGCAGUCUCAUUUUUCACGUUCUGUUUCAAAGGAGCCCUCUGCUGGCCAGCUCUGCAUGAUAUCACUGGCACACACAUAUUUAUAUAUGAUUUAUAGUCUAUAGCUAAUAUAACCCAAAAGCCAUUUGUGAUUGAAACUCUAUCAUUGCAAAUUGAAUGCAUCACUGAAACCUGUUUUGUCAUCAUUUUUUCGUAUUUAAUGAACACGCAAUUGUCUAAAAAUAAAAUGAUCAUCCUUAAAGUUUACUGUAAAUCACUGUACAUCAGCAUAUUCCCACACAUGAGAUAAUCGUACUAAAUUAACAUUCAUUACCAAUAAUUUUAGUAAUGAAUUAUUCAGCUGAUAUGCAAUUAUCACACACAUUUCUAAAGCAAUUACUUUAUUACAUAGGUACUCCAUGUCAUUGAUUUACUUGUCUGUAUUGCAUAUGUAAAUAGGAGAAAUCUUUGCAUUUACCACACUUUUAAAUGCAAAGAGUUCUUUAAUGUUUGUUCCAUGUCAUCAGGUUGUGGAGAUGUGUAGUUAGUAUUAACUGCAUUUUAAGAAACUUGUAGUGUCAGAAAAUUUCUGUGAUAAAAUGAGGCCAAAAAAAACCACUAGACCAUGAAGUUAUAGGAAUGGGAUGUUUUUCUGAGUAGUUUAUCAGUAGGUUUAUAUCAUCAUCAAUUAUAUUCUAAAAGCUCCUGUUAGUCAAGAAAAUAAUAAAACAUGACUUCAACUUAUAGUUCUGUCUAGAUUUAGUCUUAGAUUCAAGGCAGUAUAUGGAGACCACAUAGCAUCAUGGAACAAACACAGUCUCUGAAAUUCGACUGAGUUCAAAUCCUGCCUCUGUGGGACCCUGAAUGAUUUAAUCUCAUCUUCAGAAAGGAAACAGUGAAAUGAUCUCAGAAUGUUGUGGUGAGGAUUAGUGACAUAAUAUUUGUGAAGUGCCCAGCACAGCCUCAGGAAAUUGUGAGACAUUCUGCUGGAAUGUUCUCUGUACAUUUAGAGGCAACUACUUGAUUUCUCGGGGCAGGCUUAUCCUACUUUUGUUAGCAAGUAGCAGCUGAGAUAUGGCCCUAUAUUCUUGGACUUCCUUUAUAUGUGGUAAAUUGAGUGUAGUGAAAUCGAAAUCAUGGAUAGCAUGAUAGUAAUUUUAGGCAAUAUCUUAACUUGCAGACUUUAGAGUUGGACCCAAUUCUAAGUCGAAAUCCUGAAAUCAGCUUUUUCUCUGAAAUAGCCUAAAAACAGGAGCCAUAAAAGUUUUAUUGCAUGCAUGCAUGUCUUUUAAAAAAUAAUGUUCAAAAUGAAAAGGAAUAGUUGUUUCAGAACAGUUUAGUAAAACACAGUCCUCAAAUUUCCAUGAUGAAGAAUGUAACAGAAAUGAGAAAUGGCCUGACCUGAGAUGGUAUUGUUGGGUCACCCCUCACAUAUUCUGUUAGGUUAUUCACCCAUUAAAAUUCACGUCUCACCAAGUUAGUUCUUUCUUUUGAACACAGUUUAGGAAAAUGCUACAUAUAGCUUUGCAGUAGUUUAUAUACAUGAGUGUAUAUUUUUUCACAGAAAUGUAAACACAUACCUAGAAUAUAGUGUGAGUUGAAUGAAUUUUGUUUGAAUGAAUAAGAAGUGAACAAAUGGAUCAUUCAUUUUCCUGGCAGCUGACUUUAAAAUAUCCUUUGGUAGAUGAUAAACCAAGCCAGACUCUCAGUGGGAAGAAAACUGCGUCAAUACAGAGCCAUCGACUCAAAUCACUGGAUCACUUUUUUUUUUUAAACCUAUAUACAUAACAGCAGCCACAAUGUUUUCAAGGCCAAGACAAUUGGGGGGAAAUAGACUCACCUAUAGAUUGAAAUGUUUAAUUCAGUGAUCUAAUAUCUUAGGCUUCUGUAAAAGUUAUGAGUCCAAUAUGAACAGAGAUACAUUAAUUUUUAAUUUAUUCACAAAACGUUUGUUAAAUAUCCAAUAAUGUCUCUAGUACUCUGCUUGAUGCUCUGAGGGAUACAAUGAAGAAUAAGACUCAUUGUUUGCCUUUAAGAAGCUUACAGUCCAUUUGGGGAGAAUAUAAAUUACCAUGAUUAACAAGUUCCCCGUGGUCUGGGGCGGGUAUGGUGUUUGGAUCGGGGUAGUGUCAGCCUGGGAGGCUUUGUGGAAGUUGUAGAUCUUUAAUCUGAUAUAGAAGUUUAAGUAUUAGGAAUUUAGAUGGGCACAUUAGGUUUACAAAUGGUUAUACUUAUGGGAUCUACAGAAUAUUUCUCCACUGUGACAUCCACCAGUCGUAACUCCUUAGCCAUCAUCUGUGAAUCAGAUGGCAAACUCUGUGCUCUAGAUCAAAGGGCAAAACCUGGUCAAACAAGAUUUGUUGAAAAGCCUUAGAUUUGAUGAUCUUGGCUAGCAUUAGAUUGUUUGGGACAUUUUUGUAAACUUUUAAAAUGUUAACAAAAUAGCCUGUAAAAAUAAAAUAAUGUUGCUAUCAUCUUAGUUUUCUAUUUCCAAGAUAUUCUGGGAUCACUUGUACAUAAAACGCAAAGUAAGAACUUAGGAGUUUGUGAAGCCCUGUCUUUAAUACUUCUCAAGAUACAUUAAUUUUUCACACAUUUUAAUAAUUUCCUACUGAAAUGUAUUAAAUAUUAUCAUAGAAUUAUGGAUUUGUAUCACAUAGCCUGCUUGAAUUAUUUCAACACCCUGUGUGGUAAAUGAUUGUCAGAUAUGGUCUAAUAUGGUACCCAGUUGCUUCUAACUUCUAGGCAAUGGCUUAGGCCCUGGGAGAACAUAAAGUGGAUUUCUUUACUCAAGGGUGGAAGUAGGUGAAAGAAAUUGAUUAAAAAGAGUGUGAGUGGUUUUAUUAACAAACAUGCUAAAACUCACCUGCCUCGAUAUGUCCUGUCCUUUCAAUGUAUAUAAGGUUCUAAUCACCCGUGUGUACAGUGUUAUAGUUACUCGUGCCAUGACCAUCUUCAUCAUCAUGAUACAUUUCCAUUAACACUUUGUGUAGAAGAAGCCCUAAUCCACCUCUUCUGUCCACACAGAACAGUGUCCCUGAGGCCUCCCAGCCAUUCCAGGAUGGCAUCAUAAGGGGUCACUGAGUCUGAGAGAAGCUGCUGGUGCCCAAUUACAGUGAUUCCACAGUAGCUCCAACCAGUCUCAGAAGAGGAGGCAGGUCCAUUUGUCAGAACCAAAUGUCCCUUGGCUCAUUUCUCUGCAGUUAAACAAUCAUCAGUGUGCCUGGAUUUGAGUCUUCUAGGGCAAAGGAGGGGCGGAAAGACAGCACGAAGAACAGGUGGUUUAGAGAAAUGACUUGCAGCUUGUACAUGUAGAGUACCAUCAUGCUAACGAGUCCUUUCCUGACUAGUAGAUGCAUGCAACUAUUACCUCUGUAAGCAGGACAAAUUAAGCUUACACGUGAGCUUCAAUAAGACUUUGAAUAGAGACGUGGAUUCCUUUUUUAAAUCCAGAAUAGCUAAUUAAAGGGAUCAUCAUACCUUUCUACCUUUUAAAGUUAGCAGGUUGGACAUGUGACCUGCUUCUUUGAGUGAUUACAGCAUGUGCAUACCAGUGUAUUGGAUCACAGAAACAGUAACCAAGACCAGAAAAAGUUCCUUCCUAAAAAUUCUCCCCAAAUCUAUUAUCUUCAUAUUCUUUCAUUGUGUUUAUGAUCUUGGAAGAGAAACUGCUGUUUUUAUAAAGCAGCAUUUCAAGCGCUGCCAACCAUUCUAUAUCCAUGUUCCUGAAAGGUCAAUGUAUGUAUUUAAAUUUCUCCUGAAUAUCCAAGCAUUGCUGCAUAUUUUCAUCCAAUUUACAGCCUAUUUCAUCAGUGUAAACAAUUAAUUUUCCUGAAUAAAUAUGUAUAUUUGGUUCAGAUACCCUUGAGGCUUUCAAGGCGCAAUUCAGAUGCAUACGUGGAAACUGUUCAACUAACUUGCAACUAGUUAGGAAUCUGAGAAACCAAGGACAUUGACUUUUUUAAUUAGGAAAAACAACAACUCUUCCUUAUUGAAAUUCUAGCUGCUGCACCCUAAUCUUCUAUUCUGAUGUUUUCAUUUUGAGGCUACCUACGGCCCAUGCUACCCUUACAGUUUUUGCAUCCUAGUGGGCUUCUGAAAGGCUGUUUAAAGUCACCCAAUGAGAAGGAAAACAUUCACCAAGUAAUAGCCUCCGGUGGUGACCACAGCUUAUGAGCCAGGAGGCUGCAGCCCAUCAGGGGCACAAAGGAGGCCCGGGAGUCAAAUGAUUGGUUGGUGGUUGUUAUUGAUUUUGUUUAUUUCUAUAAUUCAAAGCUAGAUCAGAAGAGGUGAUCAGUUUCUGGUUUGUUUUGUGUUGUUUUCUGAUUAGUUGAUCUCGUCAGUAGUCUGGUCAGAGAAUUGGUUUUAAAAAUUCACAGACACAGUGAUCCCAAACGUAGAUCCCUAAAGCAGAGUAGAACCGAUUUUUCCAAGCUUGCCUGCUUGGGGAAGAGAAAACAGUGCUGAGAAGUUACCUGAUACCAUAGAGAAAGUCAGUGACUUCUCACUGAAACCCUUGGUCCCUAAGCUUUUAUCCACUUAAUAGUUUUCUACCAUCUGGAUUCUACAGUAGAGUAUUCAGGGAAUCCAAUUGACUGUCCCAAAUAGAGUGGCCUUUAUUCUUCCCACAAGAUUGAUAAAGAGAGGGAGAACCCCUUACUGUACUGGAAUAUAUAGCCCUUGCUUUUGAAAGGACAACCACUUUGGGAUUGAGCUGGGUUGAAGAAUGGAAGAGAAAGUGGCAUAAUUUGACUUUGACCCUAACUAUUUCAGUGAUUCAAUUAUUUUAUAUACUUACAGCCACACAGCCAAAGUCAAAUUGGACAUUAUGUCCCAGUACAUUCACAUAGACUUGCAGAAGUAAGGGCUUCAGCUCAAAGCUUCCAUGUCACAACUGCAGAAAGGGCAGGAAAGAGCAUGUGUUCAUGGACCACAAGGAUUUGCCAAACCCUGGCCAAAAUCUUCAUACAUUUCAAUGUAGCCUAUUUCUCUUCCCUUAUUUCCAAAUGUAUUUCCAGCAUCAUCUUUUUAUAGUUGUUGUUAAAGUGAACAACAUUUCACUUUGCCAGGAAUGUUAUAAUGAAGAUAAAGGGGGAAAAUUAAGCUAGAAGGCACUAAAGUACUGAAAAUACACUGUAACACAUUUGAGAAAUAAUGUAUGUAUGUCAGUCAAAUGAAGAUAGAAAUUGUCUUGAUAUUUUUUAAAAAACAUAGCUGAUAAUGUGAUUUCAUGUGAAAUUUCUUGAUGGUUACUGAGCAUAAAAAACAUAACUGAUAAUAUGAUUUCAUGUGGAAUUCCUACUGGUUACUGAGCACAAGAAAGGCGACAUACACUAUAGCGAGAUGGAUCAUGCUCUCAGCCCAUUUUUAUUGUUUAGUGAAAUAAAGCUGUGCAUGUAAGCAGUUUCUCUACAGUGACAAGAAGACUCUAAAAGUGGCAAGGAAAUGUAGCUGAAGGAGGAGCUAUUGCUGAGGCAUACCUUUCCUAGUAGAGUGGGGGAAGCAGAGUAGAAAAAACGCAUCAUAGCAAGAUUUUCCACUAUUUAAACAGUAAUAUGUUGCAGUGGAGGCUGAAUUGCAAGGGUGUGCCAGGGACAAGAGGAGUACUGGAAUGUUAUAGGAGAGUUGCUCAAAAAGGAAAAGAAGUCUUUUGCAUGAUAAUGGGACGUUUGCCAAUCUGGAUUCUUGUGUUAUUAAUGACUUAGCUGGGGUAUCGUAUUAACAAUGACUUCACCAGCUUGGAGACAGGCAUCUAGAAUCCAUGCUCAGAAUCACUAAGCUAGUCUGCCUCUAACUCAUGAUAAUAAAUACAUGUGUAAUCUUUCACCAUCAAUUUUACCUUUAAGACAAAAUCCAAAAAAAUUAAUUCCCACAAUGUGUAAAAAUUUUCCACGUUGGCUAAUAGAUGACAAAGACAAAGUGAAAGGCGUGGUUGCACCUAAAGUCGAUGCUUUCGUUUUUCCUUCUGUUUUGGCACCUCCAACAAGCAAUGGAUCUUAGCUUAUUGUGGACUGUCAGGAACAUACCUACUUGAGGAAAAUUCCUGGUGAGUCUCUUCAGUGCUACCCGGAUCUGUAGUUCUAAAGUUGAAAAAGUGCAAUAUAUGCAGGAAUUAAAUUUUUUGCAAUUGUCCAAUUUCCAAACUUACCCAAAUUAAGAAAGCAAUAAAUAAUAUCAUCUUAGGAGAAUAGUACCUUUUCUUAAAAGAAAUAAAAGCAUUUUACAGAAAGAGGUUCUUCUGUACCUUUUUUACCAUAGUCUUUGUGAAGUAACAGGGCAUUUGUACGUAGUGUUUAUUCUCUGUGGUGGAUAAGAAAGCUACUAUAGAGAGAGACUAAGGCUGUGCCUGCAUGAGCUACGGAAACAAAGGGAACAUUCACUUUUGUGUGUAUUGAGAUAUUGCAUACCCCUGCCAGGGGCGAAAUAUGCAACUCGUCUAGAUAAAAUGAACAGUUGCAUGAGUGGUUAUAUCUUAAAAUUCAUUGUGGUGGACACACAAGAAAAAGGCGUGAGUCCCACUUCCCUUGGCUAAGAUAUCACUUUAUUCACUGUGGUGCUGACAUGGGGGUGAAGGUGAAAUAGUGUCCUCAGAGUUCAUUUUCCUCUGGGAACUGUGGCAUGCCAAUGCCCAGUCAACAAAUCUUAAGGAAGAAACAGUAAUGGAAAAUGAGAAUUGUAAUAAAAAUCUUUUUAACAUUCCUUCAAAUAAUAAAUCAGACCAUUUAAAAAAAUUAAGAAUCUGUGGGAUACCCAAGUAAGUGAUAGGAGGUCAGAGCUAGUCAGUUCCAAUGGAAGUUAAAUUUGCUAGUUGUUUAAAAGAGGUCAGAAACCAACCCAAGUGAAAAAUGUCCUCAAUUUGAUCAACAGUUGGGAAGGAAGAUAAAAAUGGAAUGCUUAAUUUAGUGUUGUAAUUAAGAAUUCCUGUGCUGGAGAAUCUUUUCACAGUUGAGCUCCUUUCUCAGGCUUACAAGGCCAGCCAUUUGUGGAGGCACUGAAGGCUUCAGACAGCUAGAUUUGUGCCCUGCACCCUCAGUUAGGCUUGGUUAUGCUAACUAUGAUAUAAAGAUGACAGUUAAGACCAUGAUGGGAGGGAGAGCCACUGAAUAUUAAAGCUAAAUGGACCCUUUGAAGUCACCCAGCACCUCGUGUUACAAAUGAGACAACUGAGAAGAGAUCUGACCUUGAUCCAGGGCCCUUGUCACUAGACCAUGCUGCCUUUCUUGAUGGUACACAGAGGAUGCUGAGGUCGAAGGGCUCCUCUGGGCCAGCUCAGGCUGGUCCCCAAACCCAGGUGGGGCAGGAGAGCGGUGAAUUCUAGUGUACAAUUCACUGUACCCUUUCCUGGGAGCAAUGACUGCUCUCAGUGGAGUUCCAUGCCCCAGACAGUAUUGACUAAGUAUGAUUGAGGGGAAUGCUGCAUGAUUUAUUUCAUGCCAGUUCUUCUACAACUUAGCAAUUCGCUUUGUACAUUUGUUAUAAUGCCAACUUAUCAUUAUGGUUUGAAAAACAUGAUUUUUCCCCCCUAAGUGAUAAGAAAUAUAGAAACUCUAUUCAAAAAGCACAAAUAGUUGUUUUUCUUAUAUGUUCAUUUUUUUUGUAUAUAUGUUGAGGAUGUUUUCUGAAUCUCCCACAGUGAUAACUAACUUAGCAACAAAUGUAGCCCUUAUAGUCCUUAGGUUCCUCAUCAGUAAAGUUAGACCAGAACAGAAGCAUCUCAGCUCUAUGAUUCGGUAACUGGCCUGUGCACCAGAAGCCUGUGGAAUAAUGAUGGAUAAUUAUUUUUUUUACUUAAUAUCUAUGUUUCACUCCUGGCACUAUUAAUCCCCUAAGGGUGAAUUAGAAAAAAAAUAUAUAGUUAUGUGGAUAUUUUUUGUAAACCUUCUAUUGUACAAAUAAAAAUUAGGAUUGCUAAAUACAUCACCUUUCCUAAUAGGAAAUUUCAUGGAUAGUUUUCUGCAACAUUCUUUAUCAAACCAAACUUUUUUGGCCAAUAUUUAAUAUGCAUUCUAAUGUCAAAGCGGUAGCCUGUAAUGGAAGAGAAAGUCAUAGAAUCUUAGAGUUUCCGGGAACUUCUCAGGUUAUCUAACAUUUCCUUCCAAAGCAAGCAUCCCUUUCAAAAUAUUCUUGACAAAAGUCACCUGACUACUGUUCAGAUAUUUCCAAGGAGAGCAAACUUGCUCCCUUCUGGGGAAGCCAUCUUAUUAUUAUACUAUUCUCAUUUUCAGAAACAUCUUUAUAUCUUUCACUUUUUGAUCCCAGUUUUGCCUUCUUAACCAACAUCUUUUCCUGAGAGCUCUCUUCCGCAAGGUCUUGCCUGAUUAAAUUCUGGGUUGCUCAAUGUACUGCUUCAUACUCUGAAGCGACCUGGUGUUCUGAUGGAGUCCCAGUAGAGCAGAGACCGGGGUAAGGACUAAAUCCCUCCAUCUGAAAAGUUUACUUCUACUAAUGUGGCUUAAAAGAUCACACUAGCUGUUUAGCAGCCACUUCAUUGUUGACUCGUCUGAAACUUGUGGUCAACUAAGAGCUUCAGGUCUCAGUCCCAAGACCUGCAGUUAAGGAUUUCUCCAUCUUGCUCUUGAAAUGAUUUCUUAGCUGUAGUUUAAGAUUCAGUGUUUUUUUUUUCUGUUGACUUGUUGACUUUUAAGUUUAGUGUUUUCUGAACUUUGUUCUAACUUAAGUUUGAAUCCGUUGCUUUAACCCUUAUGUGAGUUCUCUCUCUCACAUACUCCUUAUGUGAAUUUUGAAGUACAUUUUAUCUGUAUUUUGGAAUGUCUGUAAGAAUAUCUUAGUAAAAACACUGGAUAAUUCAGGGUAAUCCCAGAGCAAACCCGUAGAAGAGAGACCUUUACAGGAUGACGUUCUUCCAUCAGUUUACACUGAAUUCAGUUGUUUGUUAGUUAUUAUUCCACUUAACUGUAUUUUAUCUACUUAGACUUCCUAAAUUUCAAGUACAUCAAAUAUGCUUCUAAUUAUAAUUAGAGGAAUUGUUUGGCUGCUAUCUAGAAGUUCUGAUAAAAGAGGAAAAAAUGUUAAUUCCCCAAGACUUGUAGUAUACACUUGCUAGCUCCCAGUGAUCACUGGCUUCUUUCGUAGGUUCCUUAAUCAUCCUUAAUAAAAUGUUCCUUAGAUUACCACCCACAGUACUGGAUCUUUAGGUUAUGGUUUGCCUGCAUAGUAAAGCAUGAGCAUGUUUAAUUUGUUAUAUUUGUAUUCUUUUCUAUUCAAGUAGAUGAAAUUGAUAUAUAUUGAUAUAUCUAAUAUAAAUAUGUGUGUACGCAGGUAUACACAUAAACACACACACUAUGCCCAGUCUUUCAUUCCUCUUUAAUUACGCUCUUAACCCUUUACAGUUCUUUUUUUUUUCUUUUAUCUUUUUUUUUCACUCUCUUCUUGAUAGAGAACCUUGAAAGAAAAAUAGUAAUUUUCCCCUUUCCCCUCCUUGGUGAAUCAGCAUUAUAUAACCUUGCUAAUUAAGUGUCUCUGACUCUUCCUCAUUUAUUGUCUUAUACCAGAUAUAGUGUGUGUGCACUUAUUUUGCUAUCUCUAGAAGUUUUCGUAACUCCAAGAUAUUCCAGACUCCAGCCUUUCUGACACUUUUAUUUUAGUGCUAUACCAUUUUUUUAACCCAUCCUACUUACUGUAUAUCCGUCCUCAUGGUACAUAUCCUUUUAAUAUCUGCUAAUAAGCAUACUUCCAGCUCAGCUCUUUUCAUUUAUGCUGUCUUUCUCUUCUUUACAUCUUCAUGUGGAUCAUUAUAGAUUAUAGCAGCACUUCCUCUCUUAGAAUGUCCCAGUUUAGAAUGUCCCAUUCCAUUUUAGAAUCUAUAAGCAUGAGAUUAUGCCUAACUAUUUAUUACAUAUUUUGAAUCUGUGCACCUAAAACUCAGAGCAUACAACUGAGGAUACCCGGCCUUUUCUUCAUAAUAGAGACCACAGCUUAAUAUUACAGCUUUUUCUCAAAGUUCUUGUCUAAAUCGCAUCAAUAUUCCUCCCUCAUUUUGUCCAGAGGAAAGCAAGCAUGGGUGAAAACAUGCAAAACAAGUCUUGUGAACAGCGACAGAGUGAAAUGGGGCUUAAGCCUGGGAAAAAGAAAGCUUGAGGGAACUUGAAACUGACUUCAACUAUUUGGAGGAUUGACUUGAGGAAGAAGAGUUAGUUUUAAUCCAUAUACUCAGAGGAAUUAGAAUUAAGACCAGUAAUUGAACUGAUUUUAAUCUCACUCUACAAGCAACUCAGUCUAAACUGACUGCAACCAGUCUCAUGACAAUCAUGUAACUGGAAGUGUUCAGUGACUGGCAGGCCACCAUGGCAGAGUCAGCGUAGAUGGGGUUCCUGUGUUGGCCUGGAUGACACUUAUGAUUCCUUCAACUCUGAGAUUACACAAUUUUUAUGUUCUAAUUUUUCUACCUUGUUCAAAAGAGAUUUAAGGUAACUGUGAAAAUCAGUGCACAUCUAAACAAAUUUCUUCUUUUCCCUUCUGAAAGCUGAAAUUGCCUAUAAGGCAGGAAUUUAUCAGAUGCUCUGCUUUUAGCUGAGUAAUUCUCCCAACAAAUACAGCAGUGCUUGAGGUUCUCUCAUCACCCCGUUAUCAUUCUGCUUCCCCAUUUGAUCAUCUGCUUUGGGAAAUCAUCCUCCUUAUCUCCCAUCAGGCAUCUGUAAUCUUCUCCCACAGCAACUUCAGUUAUCUCUUACUUAAACCAAAUAGUCUCUGUUUGUUCCCAUCUUCUAGAAUUAUUUUUUCCUCUGGAAUUAUGUUUAUAUUUUUGUUUGUUCUAAACAGACUCGACUCUACCCCAAUUUAUUGGUUGUAUUUCUUUUGAUCAAUGUGUACCCGCUGUCAUCAUUCUUCAUGCAUGAGCCACAUCCCACUGAGUCUGGUGUAACUAUGAUAUACUGCUCACUCCUGUGUGUUAAAAUUUAUAUUAUUCUUCUUUGUGUUAAUAUUUCAGGUUUAUUUUGUUUUAGUGCUUAUACUUUACCCAUUAGUAUAUAUACACUCCUAAUGCCAUAAGUAUUGGGUGCAAAUCUUCUAUUAUCAUUUCGUCUUUGCCAAACACACUGUCUUUUGCAGCACUUUCUGAGAGAGCUUUGCCUUGGCCUCACCCCAGUUCUGCUGUGUGCCUCCAAUUUCCCCUCUAAACCCUCUUGAUCUGCCAAACACACAUUUCCUGUUUUUAUAAGCACUCCUCCAUUUGAGCCAGAAAAGUGAGUUAUAACCUUGUUGCACAAUUUUAAAAAUAUACUUUUAAUUAAAAAAUAUCCAACUCUCUUCUUCCAACCAGCUUUCUCAUACCAAGUCAUUACCUCAAAGAUGAAAAUAUUCCACCAAUACCUCCAGUUUCAGGCCCAAAGCUCUAUAACUCCUGGAAGCACUUUCUAUAACUAUCACUUAUUGUUGCUUCAGUCAACAGGAGUGGGGAGGAGUGUGCAGAUUUAAUGGCAUAUCCUUUUGAAAAAUGAUGAACUUCUUGAUUGGCCAUAACGAAUCACUAACCCAUCAGCCAGUAAAGAGUCACCAGCAGACCCACCAGGCCUUUGUCUCUGGUGGCUGCACCAGGAACUCUCCCUGGGCCGAUGCCUGUGCCUCCUCUGUAGGCCUGGGGUACAGUACUUUCUUUAGAAGAUCUGAACUCACCUAUAGUGGGCAGUGCCAUUUAUAGAUUUUAUGGCUUUAGUAGACUCUAGUUUUCUCUUUUCCUUUCCUUGAUGAUAGCUUCAAUUCUAUAAUCUUCUCAUACUCCAUUUGAUUCAAUAUCAACCCCACUGAAAGCUUUUUCUUCCAGUUUUUAUCUUGGAUUAUUUUUUCCAUCUUCUCUAGGAAUGCUUCAUCUUUUCUAAUAAGCUAGGGGAUACAUAGAUAUUCCUCAAACUCUUUCACUUUCUUUACUAGGUAAUUUUUAUCUCAUUCCUCCCUCAGAGAAGAUGGGGAAAAACUUGUUACCAAUCUUAGCAGAAAAUUCUUGAUUUAACUCAACAGUUUCUGUUAAAUCGCUCUUGGUCUUCUUUUUUUUUUUAAACUGAGUAAUCCUAAUUUAUUGCCUAAUUUCUUAUAGGUUUCAUUUUCCAAAAUAUUUAUGAUUUUUCUAAGUCCUAGUCAUGUUUUCUACGACUUUAAUUAUUGAGGACAAAAAUCUGUAGGUUUCUUCAUGCAUGAUCUGACCAAUGCUGAAAAAUGAGAGAGAAACUAAUAUUUUCUGUGCUCCUAAUGUUUACUAUGUUUACUUGAAGUAAAAUGCUAUGUUUCAGACUCAUGGUAAGCACAUUAACUAAUACAAUUAUAUUUUCAUGUAGCCAUUCAUUGGGUAAUGCAUCUUACAAAUAUUUACCAAAUGGCAUUAUGCACCAGAUGCUACUCUGACUAGUGGGAUACAUUUAUGAAAAAGGCAGUGUCUUUAUCUAUAAGAGCUCACAAUCUGCAGAGAGAGAGAAGUAGAAUUAUAAUAGAAACCCAGCAUGUGCAGUGCUAUCAUGUGGGCAUAUAUACAGAAUAAUGGGGUCCAAAGGACCAUCAUAGCUUGGUGGUAGAGGUUUGGAGAGUCUUUGUAGAGAAGAGUGCUUUUAAACUACAUUUUGAUGAAUGGAUAAGAUGUCACAUGAGCAAGAGAAUUCUAAAUAGAAGAAAUUUCUAUGUCUGCAAAGGUACAGAAACACAAAAGAGCAUAGCGUGCAAUGCUUGCUGUUAAGUUGUACAACAUGGUUGGAAUUGAGAGAGAAUGUGUGUGUGUGUGCGCGCAUGCGCAUGCGUGUGUGCACAUACCUGUCUGUCUGUAGGAGGUAGGGAGAAAAGUAUUAACAUAGCGUGAGAUGAUAUUAGACCUCAUAUGACAUAGUAAGUAAUUUAAACAUUUUAUUCUGGGCAAUGACUUUUUUAAUUUAGAAAUGUGACUAUAAUAUAAAGGAGGACUUAGGUAUCAGAAGUAGGGCAACUACUUUGGAGGGAAGAGAAAAAUGUGAGGACCUGAAACUAAGGUAGAGGCGGUAAAAAUGGAGAACAGAGAGAUUCAAAUGACAUUUAGGAAGUAGAAGAAACUGGAUUUGAAGACUGAGUAGAUAUAUAUAUAUGGUGGAGAGGACAGGCUAACUCUAGCGGGUCUGGCCAGAAUACUUGGGUAGAUAGUGGUAAAAAUUGAUACAGUUGAAUCAUGUAGAAGAUGGCGUAAUUUAGGGAGGGGAUGGGGAAGAUGAUUAAUUAAUUGGGGAGGUAAAGAGUUCGAAGCGUCUGUAAAACAUGCAGAUGAAGGUAUACCUGAUUAGAGUCUGAAACUUCGGAGGCUUUAGACAUACAAAUUUGGAGACCAUAUGGACAUGAGUAGGUUAUAGCAAAAGUCAUGGUCUUGGGUAAAAUCAUCCAAGAAUAUGUGAAGUUUGAAGAAAAGA